rnacentral:ncRNA from 1 species
UGGCCUGAAAUCAGGUAGGACUACCCGCUGAACUUAAGCAUAUCAAUAAGCGGAGGAAAAGAAACUAACAAGGAUUCCCCUAGUAACGGCGAGUGAAGCGGGAAGAGCUCAAAUUUGAAAUCUGGCAGUCUUCGAUUGUCCGAGUUGUAAUCUAUAGAGGCGUUUUCCGUGCCGGACCGUGUCCAAGUCUCCUGGAAAGGAGUAUCAAAGAGGGUGAUAAUCCCGUACUUAACACGACCACCGGUGCUCUGUGAUACGUCUUCUACGAGUCGAGUUGUUUGGGAAUGCAGCUCAAAAUGGGUGGUGAAUUCCAUCUAAAGCUAAAUAUUGGCGAGAGACCGAUAGCGAACAAGUACCGUGAGGGAAAGAU